rnacentral:rRNA from 1 species
UUCAGGGCAACCCGCAGCUGUCGCUACCGACAGCUCAGAGGCUCAAUAGGCGUGGGCGCAGCGCUGACCGUGCUGCGCUUGAGAUAGAGUCCGCCCUCGCUGGCAACAGCUGGGAGCAAGCGGAACCUGCGGAAGGAUCAUUACAGAAUAUACCUUAUUCUCACCCUGUGCAUACCGAACCUCUGUUGCCUCGGCGCACUGCUGCGCCAGAGGACUCAAACGCUGAAAUUAUACCGUCUGAGGCACUAUGCAAAUAGUCAAAACUUUCAACAACGGAUCUCUUGGUUCGGGUAUUGAUGAAGAACGCAGCGAAAUGCGAUAAGUAAUGCGAAUUGCAGAAUUCAGUGAGUCAUCAAAUCUUUGAACGCACAUUGCGCUCCCUGGUAUUCCGGAGAGCAUGCCUGUCUGAGCGUCAUUGCACCGCUUGCGCUCUGCGCAGUGUUGGGCGCAGCCUGUCUAGGCUCGCCUCAAAUCUAGUGGCAGCACCUCAGAGCUCCUACGCGCAGUGAUGACCGCCGCCGGCGGCGCCCUGCAGGUGCUAGCUAGUCCAACCCCCAACCUGUUAGGUGAC